UACGUAGGGUGCGAGCGUUGUCCGGAAUUAUUGGGCGUAAAGAGCUCGUAGGCGGUUUGUUGCGUCUAUCGUGAAAACCUGCAGCUUAACUGUGGGCUUGCGGUGGAUACGGGCAGACUUGAGUUCGGUAGGGGAGACUGGAAUUCCUGGUGUAGCGGUGAAAUGCGCAGAUAUCAGGAGGAACACCGGUGGCGAAGGCGGGUCUCUGGGCCGAUACUGACGCUGAGGCGCGAAGGCCAGGGGAGCAAACGGG
rnacentral:rRNA from 1 species